rnacentral:rRNA from 1 species
GGGCUUGACAUCCCACGAACCUGCCUGAAAGGGCGGGGUGCCCGCAAGGGAGCGUGGAGACAGGUGGUGCAUGGCUGUCGUCAGCUCGUGUCGUGAGAUGUUGGGUUAAGUCCCGCAACGAGCGCAACCCUCACCCCUAGUUGCCACCGGGUAAUGCCGAGCACUCGAGGGGAACUGCCAGCGUCAAGCUGGAGGAAGGCGGGGAUGACGUCAAGUCAUCAUGCCCCUUACGCCCUGGGCUACACACGUGCUACAAUGGCCAGUACAAAGGGAUGCGAGACCGCAAGGUGGAGCUAAUCCCAAAAAGCUGGUCUCAGUUCAGAUUGCAGUCUGCAACUCGACUGCGUGAAGGAGGAAUCGCUAGUAAUCGCGCAUCAGCACGGCGCGGUGAAUACGUUCCCGGGCCUUGUACACACCGCCCGUCACACCACGAAAGCUGGCUGUACUCGAAGUCGCUGAGA